UGCAGUCCAUGCAUAAGUACAAACCCCGUGUGCACGUGGUGGAGGAGGACAGCAGGAUUGACCUGUCCCUGAUUCAGUCCUUUCCUACUGAAGGAGUUAAAACAUUCUCCUUUAAAGAAACUGAAUUCACUACAGUGACAGCUUACCAAAACCAGCAGGUAAAGCUGUCUAGGUCCCUGUAAGUGAGAGUGGCUCCACUGGUAUAUUGGGAUAGAAGAGCAUUUCAUGGGAUACAUUUUAAAUGAUGGAGAAAAUAUCAUGGUUUUAUUUUAUUUUCCAGUCAUAACUGAUAGAAAGAGUUGUGGUUCUUGUGUUAAACAGGAGGAGAUCGGGGCAAAAGGGACUACUGGCAAAGGAGAAAUUGUUUUUAAUUCUGACUUAUCUAUGUGCUCAUGUUUAUUUAAAGUACUCCAUUAUAGUGAUAACACUGUUGUUAAGAACAUAGGCUGCAUUUUUCUCUUUGUCUUUCUUUUGAAUUCAUAGAUUACCAAACUGAAAAUAGACAGGAAUCCUUUUGCCAAAGGAUUUAGAGAUCCUGGGAGAAACCGGGGUGUACUGGAUGGAUUUUUAGAGACCUACCCCUGGAGGCCUUCUUUCACUAUGGAUUUUAAACCUUUUGUCCCAGACACACAAAAUGGAAGUAGUGGUUCAUCUCCAGUGACAUCUAGUGGAGGAGCUCCCUCUCCUUUGAACUCCUUACUUUCUCCAUCUUGUUCUCCACCUACGGUUUACAUACCACCAAGCUCCAUUGGGAUGACCCAUCCAGAGACGUACCUGCACAAUGUCA
rnacentral:lncRNA from 1 species